UACGAAGGGGCUAGCGUUGCUCGGAAUCACUGGGCGUAAAGCGCACGUAGGCGGAUCUUUAAGUCAGGGGUGAAAUCCUGGAGCUCAACUCCAGAACUGCCUUUGAUACUGGGGAUCUCGAGUCCGGAAGAGGUGAGUGGAACUCCGAGUGUAGAGGUGAAAUUCGUAGAUAUUCGCAAGAACACCAGUGGCGAAGGCGGCUCACUGGCCCGGUACUGACGCUGAGGUGCGAAAGCGUGGGAGCA
rnacentral:rRNA from 1 species